AUUGAACGCUGGCGGCAUGCCUUACACAUGCAAGUCGAACGGCAGCACGGGAGCAAUCCUGGUGGCGAGUGGCGAAUGGGUGAGUAAAGUAUCGGAACGUGCCCAGUCGUGGGGGAUAACGUAGCGAAAGUUACGCUAAUACCGCAUACGAUCUAUGGAUGAAAGCGGGGGAUCGCAAGACCUCGCGCGAUUGGAGCGGCCGAUAUCAGAUUAGGUAGUUGGUGGGGUAAAGGCUCACCAAGCCGACGAUCUGUAGCUGGUCUGAGAGGACGACCAGCCACACUGGGACUGAAACACGGCACAGACUACUACGGGAGGCAGCAGUGGGGAAUUUUGGACAAUGGGCGAAAGCCUGAUCCAGCCAUGCCGCGUGCAGGAUGAAGGCCUUCGGGUUGUAAACUGCUUUUGUACGGAACGAAAAGGUUUGGGCUAAUAAGCUGAGCUCAUGACGGUACCGUAAGAAUAAGCACCGGCUAACUACGUGCCAGCAGCCGCCGUAA
rnacentral:rRNA from 1 species